GUCAUGGCGGAGGGGAAACACCCGGAACCAUUCCGAACCCGGUAGUUAAGCCCUCCAGCGCCGAUGGUACUGCGGCUAUGGCUGCCGUGGGAGAGUAGGUCACUGCCAGGG
rnacentral:rRNA from 1 species